AAAUAGAACUUUGCAGAGAGAGUUAACAGGGCGUGAAACCGUUAAUUGGCAAACGAAUCGGAGCCACGAAGUCGUUUCGCUGUUAGUCUGGUUGGGUUCAGCUUGGCAAUCACAAAAUUCUCAGGCGUAUUCCCAAUUGGGCCAUACAUUGUAAGCGUACACUGCAACCAGUUAGACAAUUGGUGAUGGAAUUAGUCUGUGGUUGUUUCGGCAGCCUCAGGCGACAAUUUUGUUUGCUCGUAUUAGUAGUAGCGUGGUGCUUUUCGGAGCAUUCGUGUUGCUGGAUACGCGGCAAGUGAGCUAUUACCAAAGACUGACUGGCACAAUGAAAAUCACUCUCAUGAGUGUUGACAUAAAAUGCUGCUUGUUGCAUGCAAGUCUACUUGCUUGACCAUUGGGUUUAAGCUCAACAUUUUUGAAUUUGGACUUGCUAGCCAUCAGUGGGGCAACUCCUGAUGCUAGUACAGCCUCCAUCUAAUCGGGUGUUGACUUGGCCUGGUGUUGCUCAAGUAAGAAUCGUUUGGGCUAACAUGUAAGCAAGUUAGCCAUUAUUGGCAGUGAGUAGGUCGGCUUUCCGAACGACCCGUCUUGAAACACGGACCAAGGAGUCUAAUUAGGCAUCGAGUCGAUCGGUCUUGAUAGGCCAGACUGAAUUGGUGCAAAUCAAUUCGAUUGAAGGCGUAGAGAAAUCAAAUCAUGUGAUCACUCCAGGCUACCAUGCUUGGGUGCGCAACAUGUGCCUGUUCGGAUAACAAUGUAGCAAUACUUGUUGAGCGGAGCAAAGAGAUACCUGAUUGGUACCCGAAAGAUGGUGAACUAUGCCUGGGCAAAUUGAAGCCAGAGGAAACUCUGGUGGAGGAUUGUAGCGAUUCUGACGUGCAAAUCGAUCGUCAGACCUGGGUAUAGGGGCGAAAGACUAAUCGAACCAUC
rnacentral:rRNA from 1 species